rnacentral:rRNA from 1 species
AGUGAACACUGGCGGUAGGCCUAACACAUGCAAGUCGAACGGCAGCACAGUAAGAGCUUGCUCUUACGGGUGGCGAGUGGCGGACGGGUGAGGAAUACAUCGGAAUCUACUUUUUCGUGGGGGAUAACGUAGGGAAACUUACGUUAAUACCGCAUACGACCUACGGGUGAAAGCAGGGGAUCUUCGGACCUUGCGCGAUUGAAUGAGCCGAUGUCGGAUUAGCUAGUUGGCGGGGUAAAGGCCCACCAAGGCGACGAUCCGUAGCUGGUCUGAGAGGAUGAUCAGCCACACUGGAACUGAGACACGGUCCAGACUCCUACGGGAGGCAGCAGUGGGGAAUAUUGGACAAUGGGCGCAAGCCUGAUCCAGCCAUACCGCGUGGGUGAAGAAGGCCUUCGGGUUGUAAAGCCCUUUUGUUGGGAAAGAAAAGCAGCAGGUUAAUACCCCGCUGUUCUGACGGUACCCAAAGAAUAAGCACCGGCUAACUUCGUG